GCGUGGCGCAGCGGCAGCGUGUUCGGCCCGUGACCGAGAGGUCGUGGGUUCGAAUCCCCACUGC
rnacentral:tRNA from 1 species